GUGAGAAGCGGUGAAGUCAUGCAUACAGAUGGCAGUGCCGGUGUUGGUGGAAAUGAUGCUUCCUGAACUGUUGUAACGGCAGUCCCAGAGGACUGAGCCACAGUCCAAUAAGAUGUCAUGAAGACUAGACCGAGAGGAGUGCGCAUCAGAUCUCCCUCAAUUAAUCCACCAUUAGAUGCCUGAGAUUCAUGGCUCACUGCCUUUGCUUACUGCGUUGGAGCUAAAAUCUAAUUAGACCCCCUCUCUCUCUCUCUCUCUUUUUCUCUCGGCUUCUCUUUCUCUAUGUCCAUCCCUCCUUAGAUCGAAAGAUAGACGGAUCUUUCCUCACUGAACGCUGUGGUUGGGUAUUUUAGGUGUUCCUCCCUCUCCCUCUCUCUCUCUCUUUCGCUCUCUCUCUCAGUAUCUUUCCUUACAGCCACAUACUCACUCUCAGUCUGUCCCCCUCUCUCCCACUCCUGCUUUCCCUCCCACUCUCUCUCUGUAACUCCUUCGCUCCUCUCAUCCUCCUGUGACUUAGUCUGCUGUGCGCAACAACUUGCAGACCUCUCUCCUCUUCUCCGGCGAGGUGGCAAGCGUGUCCUCAGGCAUGGGAGGGGAUCCUGCACGUUCGGGCACAUGGUCUUACGGCGACGACGGAUCGGCGGCACAACAACCUGAAGGAACGGAGGCACGGCAUCCUCAGCCUUCCCCGUCACUGCCGGCUCAAGGCAGCGGACGAAUGGGCGGCUUUGUGCUCAGCGGGUGCCGCUCUGUAGAGAUCUCUAGGAUUUGGCCUGGAUGUUUGCGAGCGCUUCCGCUCCCUGAGGACGGGCUGGACCGAGGACAGGACGUGUGGUCUGUGAGCUCCCAGAUGCAACCUUUGACGGGGGCCUUGGCUUGUGGUAAAGGGCAUCUUCAAUCAAUUCCCCUAGAGAGAAAACUCUGCUUUGGCCUAUGCCACUGUGAAUGGCUGAAAGUCAGGCGAAGCCCCCUUUUACUAAGGCUCUCUUCGGUGACGGGUAUUCUUGGGUGGAUAAUACGGCUCUCGUUGUUAUUGCUUAAGAAUACGCGUAGUUGAGGAGAGUCAUUGUCGACUGUCUUCGGGGAGAUAACCUCCACUGAUCCCAAAAACCUUCUGUGGCCGUUUAUGUAGCAACUAGACAGCUAAUCAUUUUCACUGUGGUUUGUUUGAUUUCUGCAACAGGAGACAGACAGCUCUUGCUCUCAGUGUAGUGUCUCCACCUACAUUGGCAAAUCGCCACUUUAUGUGCUAUCCAACGAGCGGCGUUUUGCAUUUCACACAACUUGUUUGUUUUUUCCUCUGAGUGUGCGUGCGACGAGAGGUUCAUGGGGAACGGCGUUUAUUUUUGCUCUCUUCGGGGAGUGUUUUAGAGUACACAUGCCUGCUUGCCUGGCUGAUAGGAAUGCAUUUACUGCUCUUUAUUGUUAGUCCUGAGCACCAGCGGGAGCCCCGGACUGCAUGGGGUGUUCACACAGAUUGAUUUUGAGAUGGCAUUAGUCGUACAGUUUUCGCCAUUCAGCUGACAGCGAUGGGAGGCAAAAUGUCCACGGAAUCUAAACAGGCUUUGCUGUGAAAGGGGAGGGGCUUCAAGUCUAAUUACAAAACACAGCUAAAUAGAAGCAGCAUAACAGAUUACAUGAUUGUGUCUGCUGAGCUCAUAGCAUCAGCUGGUUCAUUCUGAUUGUAGCACCGUUUCUCAGGACAAAAACAGAUUGAAUAUCUUUUUUCUCCUAGAUAAAGACACACAUACGCAUAAUGUUCUUUUCCAAACCGCUAAUUACUUUUUAAUGAUGCGCUCAAAUGUCUGAGUUAGCUUGUGCUGGUGAAAGCCAAUGAGGCCCAAGGCGUAUAAAGACGGUCAGUGUUUUUAAAGCAGUCAUAUCUAUAUCUCAGAUUUUAUCAUAGGAAUAUGUUGUUUGUAUAAUAUUUAACCAAACAGCUUUAAUAUAACUGAAUGCAUUUAAAAUGAAUGUGGAAUCUAUUUUUAAUGGCUUGUUUUUAAACUAAAGGACUGGCAAUUUUAAAUAUUCUCUGCUCAGAAAAAAUACUUGUUUUUUAUUUACGAAUCAUAUUGUGUGGGUUUUUAUUUAAUUGAUUUACAGAACUGUUAAGAAACACUUGAUUUUAAAUGCAUAGCUUGCUUCUUUCAUUCUCUGCUGUACGAAGGCCUGGGAGACAUAGAGGCAAAAUGCAAAUUGGCUGCUACUCUGUUUUAGUAAUAUUAGCCAAGAAGUUUGUGAAAAUAACUAGAGGCUUAUUAGAAAUGCUCAUGAAAAGUCCCUAGCCCAAGAAACAAAACAUAUUACUUAUAUUAUUAUGUAAUCUAGUGAUGUAUUACUAAUAUUAUACAUAUCAUAGGGUUGAAAUGUGAAUGAACUACUUCCAUACUCAAGGUAUAUUAUAUUAUAUUAUUUUUUAAUUUAUUAUUGUCAUGAUUGUAAUGUCAUUCUUUGUUACUGAUGCACAUUCAACUUUUUUUUUUUUUUUUUCAGUGUAAUUGUAUUUCACACAAAAGUUAGUGAUUUUACUCAGCACUGAAUGUGCCUUUAUCAUUAAAUCAUGGUAAAUGUUGUAUCAAAUGACUAUAUGAAGCCCUAAAUAAACUCUCUAUAAAACAGUC